rnacentral:lncRNA from 10 species
CUGGUGAGAGCCUCUGUCUGCUUCCACUCAUGGCAGAAGGUGAAGGACAUGUUUCAGAAAAGUGGCUGGAAGAAUCUACUUUGAUCUGUAAGAAGGUAUUUUUUCCAGUGGCUCUAAAGGACAAGUGAAGGAUGUAUAGCAUGUUUUUACUACUACCAGAUUCUGAAAGGGCAGCUACUCUUACACUGACUCUGGAAGGCUUUAUGCUGCAGAAAAGAAUGAGCACAGCAGACCUGAACUACUACCAUCCUCUGAAAGGCCUGCUUUCAAGGUUUGUUCCAGCUGGUAUUUGAGAACUUAGAUUUCAAGAGGAUUCUCAUCAUUAACUGAUAAAAUCGACUCACUGUGCCUAAACUGUACAAACAAUAUGGUAUAUGAGCAACACCUUUUUUCCCUUCUGGGAGUCUGAAAUUUUGUUCUGUGUUAGAUGCAGGCCUAUGCGAUCAACACCUAAUAAAACUCCAGGCACUGAAUCUCUAGUGAGCUUCCUUGGUUGACAUUUCACACACUUUGUCACAACUUAUUGAAGGUAAAAUUAAGUAUCUUCAGUGGGACUCCACUGGAA